GACAAAACAGCAUAAACAUGCGUGCGUUAUUUAGGCAUUAAUGCCAAAGAGGCAGACGGCUGCCUCUCUCAGCUCAAAUUGUGCGAAGCUAAACUGUUAAGAAACAUGGAUUUUUGAAACAGAUGUACUUCUUCCUGGCAUCACCAGUUUUUUAAAAAUGUGCUGCUCUUCCAAAAGAACCUUUUUAUCAGCCACAGGAUGCCUGCCUCUAGUCACAUUUUUUUCCCAGUGGGUUAUGCCAAGCUAUUCCUUCUCUAUUGCUCAUUCACUCAUGAAAACAGGGCCAUUCAGUGUGAGAUCCUUGUCAACAUUAGAGGAGGUGGGGGCUUUGGAUAGGGAACUUCUCUCUACCGAGUACUUAGUCCAUCCACAUCCUUGCUCCCUUUCUCGCAUGGCAUCAUCCCCUCAAUUGCACUCACUUUCUCUGAUCAUCACAGCCAACAAAAUAAUGAAUGAAAACCAACUCUGUGCUGAUCCCUGAACUAUACCAGAUGCCAUGUCUCUAUCCUAACACCCUUUCGAGACUCAGUAGCUAGUUUCAAAGAAAAUAUACAAACAUAUUCAUUUCUCAAAUGAUAUCAACUGACAACUUUACACAGAUUUCAGUUGUAGCCCUUUCUAUGCCAGUAGGCUAAAGCAGCCAUUCAUUCGGGGGCUGAUGUACUCAUUGGUCAUCUUGCCUGGCAUUUCUAAUUGCUAAAUCCUCCUGGCUUCUCCAUCAUGAAUGAAUUUGGGGGAAGGGGAGAGGGGAGGAAGAGAGACCGGUGAGCUUGGCUGAGUUGUGUAUUUAUAGAGUGAUCCUUCCAGUGCCUACAGGGAGUGUUUAUGGUGUGUAACCACAACAGAACAGGGACUGCCAUUUGUAGCCACAACUCCAUUCCAAAUGUUACCAGGCCCAAAGCCAGUAGCUGAAGAAGCUGUCUACUAUAAGGCAUAAAUCUCAGCCUUCGCUCAGAAUAGCCAAGGCUGAGUCACGGGGCACAUGUGUAAAGGCAUUUUACACAGAAAGGUGAGAUGUUCCCUGGAGUGAUGUGAAAGGUUCCAGGAUGACUGCUGCCUGCCCCAAAUCCCAGCUACCUCUCCCAACCCCACCCUCCUUCAACUGCCAUCCAUAUUCCCAGUCCCCUGAAUUCCAUCAUCGGAGACCCAUUUGCUUUGAUAUCUCAACCUGGGUAUCCAUUUUGAGUGCAAAUGCUUUGGAGAAAUGUGACUUCCCAGGCUGACUUGCCAGCCAUUCUGCGUGGGAUAAGCAUCUUAUUACAUGCAGCGAGAAGAGGCAGUAAAAUGGGGGUGUUACGAUGUCCAUAAUUUACUUUCAAACAUUUCAGUAUACUGUAAUAUUAUGCAGUGUUAGUCAAUUUAAGCUAUAUCCUAAAGGCAAUCAGUUACAUUUAUCAGAAAUUCACACUCUAGAGGUAGUCCUCUAACAUUUAUACAAAAAGAAAUCAUCACUCUAGAGGCAUCUUCUACAAUCACUUCAUUUCUCUUAAUUUUUAAUCAAACCCAGAAACUCUGCUGGUUAGUAUAACAUUGGAAAUAAGUUUUGGUUUUCAUAAUUAUUAUCUUAUUAAUUAGCAUAAAGGAUGCCAAAAGUGGAUGCUCAUGGGUAAGAUUACUUAUAUUCAAGAUACAUGGAGUAGCUAAAAUAUUUUAGAUACUUUCUACUCUUGCACGAAGAGGGCAAAAUAAUUAUAGUCUUGUAGCCUGUAUCUUGAGAAUGAUGCCUAGGGUGUUAUCCCUAAAUGGUCCUGUGGCUAGCCAAGAAUUAGGAGGUUUCUUGUUGCCUGAUACUGACUAUAAGAUUAACUGAAUCUUUUUUUUCUUGUGGUAAAAUAUAUAUGACAUAAAAUUUACUGUUUUUAAGUGUAUAGCUCAGUGGCACUAAAUACACUCAUAUUGCUCUACAACCAUCACCUUAAAACUCUCUACUCAUUAAACAAUAGGUCCCCAGUCUCUCCUUCCACCAGCCCCUGGGACCACUGUUCUACUUUCUGUGUCUGUGAAUUUGACUACGCUAAGUACUCAUGUAAGUGGAAUUAUACAAUAUUUGCCCUUUGUAACUGACUUGUUUCACUUAGCAUAAUGUUUUCAACUUCAUCCAAGUGGUGGCAUGUGCCAGGAUUUCCUUCCUUUUUAAGGCUAAUAUUCCAUUGCAUGUAUAUACCACAUUUUGUUUAUCUACUCACCUGUUGAUGGACAUUUGGGCUAUUAUGAAUAAAUGUUGCUACAAGCAUUGGUGUACAAACAUCCA
rnacentral:lncRNA from 10 species